CAGCAGCCGCGGUAAUACGUAGGGGGCAAGCGUUAUCCGGAUUUACUGGGUGUAAAGGGAGCGUAGACGGCACGGCAAGCCAGAUGUGAAAGCCCGGGGCUCAACCCCGGGACUGCAUUUGGAACUGCUGAGCUAGAGUGUCGGAGAGGCAAGUGGAAUUCCUAGUGUAGCGGUGAAAUGCGUAGAUAUUAGGAGGAACACCAGUGGCGAAGGCGGCUUGCUGGACGAUGACUGACGUUGAGGCUCGAGAGCGUGGGGAGCAAACAGGAUUAGAUACCCUGGUAGUCCACGCCGUAAACGAUGACUGCUAGGUGUCGGGUAGCAAAGCUAUUCGGUGCCGCAGCUAACGCAAUAAGCAGUCCACCUGGGGAGU
rnacentral:rRNA from 1 species